AUUUGUAUAGUUUAAUAAAAAACGAUAAACUUUCUAUUUAUAGAUUCCUGUUGAGGAUAUAGAUU
rnacentral:tRNA from 1 species